rnacentral:rRNA from 1 species
GAUGAACGCUGGCGGCGUGCCUAAUACAUGCAAGUCGAACGCAUUGUGGUUGAAAUGAUAUGAAGAACUUGUUCAGAUUUGAUUUUCAACAUUGCAAUGAGUGGCGAACGGGUGAGUAACACGUGGGGAAACCUACCUCUUAGCAGGGGAUAACAUUUGGAAACAAAUGCUAAUACCGUAUAAUAAUUAAAACCGCAUGGUUUUAGUUUAAAAGAUGGUCUUGCUAUCACUAAGAGAUGGUCCCGCGGUGUAUUAGUUAGUUGGUGAGGUAAUGGCUCACCAAGACAAUGAUACAUAGCCGAGUUGAGAGACUGACCGGCCACAAUGGGACUGAGACACGGCCCAUACUCCUACGGGAGGCAGCAGUAGGGAAUCUUCCACAAUGGACGAAAGUCUGAUGGAGCAACGCCGCGUGUGUGAUGAAGGGUUUCGGCUCGUAAAACACUGUUGUAAGAGAAGAAUGACAUUGAGAGUAACUGUUCAAUGUGU